UGGGGAAUUUUGGACAAUGGGCGAAAGCCUGAUCCAGCAAUGCCGCGUGUGUGAAGAAGGCCUUCGGGUUGUAAAGCACUUUUGUCCGGAAAGAAAUCCUUGGCUCUAAUACAGUCGGGGGAUGACGGUACCGGAAGAAUAAGCACCGGCUAACUACGUGCCAACAGCCGCGGUAAUACGUAGGGUGCAAGCGUUAAUCGGAAUUACUGGGCGUAAAGCGUGCGCAGGCGGUUUGCUAAGACCGAUGUGAAAUCCCCGGGCUCAACCUGGGAACUGCAUUGGUGACUGGCAGGCUAGAGUAUGGCAGAGGGGGGUAGAAUUCCACGUGUAGCAGUGAAAUGCGUAGAGAUGUGGAGGAAUACCGAUGGCGAAGGCAGCCCCCUGGGCCAAUACUGACGCUCAUGCACGAAAGCGUGGGGAGCAAACAGGAUUAGAUACCCUGGUAGUCCACGCCCUAAACGAUGUCAACUAGUUGUUGGGGAUUCAUUUCCUUAGUAACGUAGCUAACGCGUGAAGUUGACCGCCUGGGGAGUACGGUCGCAAGAUUAAAACUCAAAGGAAUUGACGGGGUCAUAGCUGUUUCCU
rnacentral:rRNA from 1 species